GGGGAUAUAGCUCAGUUGGGAGAGCGUCUGCCUUGCACGCAGAAGGUCGCAGGUUCGACCCCUGUUAUCUCCA
rnacentral:tRNA from 1 species